ACGGCUCAGUAACACGUGGACAAUCUAACCUACGGAAGGGGAUAACCCCGGGAAACUGGGGAUAAUACCCUAUAGACUAUGGAUGCUGGAAUGCUCUGUAGCUGAAAGGUCCGCCGCCGUAGGAUGGGUCUGCGGCCGAUUAGGUUGUUGUUGGGGUAACGGCCCAACAAGCCUGUAAUCGGUACGGGUUGUGGGAGCAAGAGCCCGGAGAUGGAUUCUGAGACACGAAUCCAGGCCCUACGGGGCGCAGCAGGCGCGAAAACUUUACAAUGCGGGAAACCGUGAUAAGGGAACUCUGAGUGCCCGUUAAAUCGGGCUGUCCAUCAGUUUAAAAAACUGGUGAAGAAAGGGCCGGGCAGGACCGGUGCCAGCCGCCGCGGUAAUACCGGCGGCUCGAGUGGUGGCCACUAUUACUGGGCUUAAAGCGUUCGUAGCUGGUCUGUUAAGUCUCUGGGGAAAUCUACUGGCUUAACCAAUAGGCGUUUCAGGGAUACUGGCAGACUAGGGACCGGGAGAGGUGAGAGGUACUCCAGGGGUAGGAGUGAAAUCCUGUAAUCCUUGGGGGACCACCUGUGGCGAAGGCGUCUCGCCAGAACGGCUCCGACAGUGAGGGACGAAAGCUGGGGGAGCAAACCGGAUUAGAUACCCGGGUAGUCCCAGCUGUAAACGAUGCGCGUUAGGUGUAUCGGUGACCACGAGUCAUCGAGGUGCCGAAGAGAAAUCGUGAAACGUGCCGCCUGGGAAGUACGGUCGCAAGGCUGAAACUUAAAGGAAUUGGCGGGGGAGCAC
rnacentral:rRNA from 1 species